rnacentral:rRNA from 1 species
GGGGAAUUUUGGACAAUGGGCGAAAGCCUGAUCCAGCCAUUCCGCGUGAGUGAAGAAGGCCUUCGGGUUGUAAAGCUCUUUCGGCAGGAACGAAACGGUGAGGGCUAAUAUCUCUUACUAAUGACGGUACCUGAAGAAGAAGCACCGGCUAACUACGUGCCAGCAGCCGCGGUAAUACGUAGGGUGCGAGCGUUAAUCGGAAUUACUGGGCGUAAAGCGUGCGCAGGCGGUGACUCAAGUCAGAUGUGAAAGCCCCGGGCUUAACCUGGGAACGGCAUUUGAAACUAGGUCGCUAGAGUAUGGCAGAGGGGGGUAGAAUUCCACGUGUAGCAGUGAAAUGCGUAGAGAUGUGGAGGAAUACCGAUGGCGAAGGCAGCCCCCUGGGUCAAUACUGACGCUCAUGCACGAAAGCGUGGGGAGCAAAC